rfam:Asian citrus Psyllid, Diaphorina citri - Florida Strain, whole genome shotgun sequence.
GCUCCCAUGGCGUAGUGGUCACUGCACUCGCCUUGCACGCGGGAGACCCGGGUUCGAUUCCCGGCGGUGUCA